rnacentral:rRNA from 1 species
UACAGAGGUCUCAAGCGUUGUUCGGAUUCAUUGGGCGUAAAGGGUGCGUAGGUGGCGUGGUAAGUCGGAUGUGAAAGUCCGGGGCUCAACCCCGGGAGGCGGGCGGAUACUGUCGGGCUAGAGUCCGGAAGAGGCGAGUGGAAUUCCUGGUGUAGCGGGUGAAAUGCGCAGAUAUCAGGAGGAACACCAAUGGCGAAGGCAGCUCGCUGGGACGAUACUGACGCUGAGGCGCGAAAGCGUGGGGAGCAAACAGG